GUGAGGAAUUUUGCGCAAUGGGGGCAACCCUGACGCAGCGACGCCGCGUGGAGGACGAAGUCUUUCGGGAUGUAAACUCCUGUCAGUGGGGACGAUAAUGACGGUACCCACAGAGGAAGCACCGGCUAACUCCGUGCCAGCAGCCGCGGUAAGACGGAGGGUGCAAGCGUUGUUCGGAAUUACUGGGCGUAAAGCGUAUGUAGGCGGCAAGUUAAGUUCAAUGUUAAAGCCCACGGCUCAACCGAGGAGAUGCAUUGAAUACUGGCUAGCUAGAGGGUGUUAGAGGAAGACGGAAUUCGCAGUGUAGCGGUGAAAUGCGUAGAUAUUGGGAGGAACAUCGGUAGCGAAAGCGGUCUUCUGGGACAUACCUGACGCUGAGGUACGAAAGCGUGGGGAGCAAACGGGAUUAGAAACCCGGGUAGUCC
rnacentral:rRNA from 1 species